UUACUUCCCAAUUCGAAUUUAGCCCCCGCGUCGAAUCUUCUCCCCGCCCGCAUCGAACCUCCUCUGCCCACCGCCACCGCCACCGCCACUGUCACCGUCUCCUCUGCCCACCGCCACCGAAAAACGUGCAUUUUCCCUCCUGAUGGAAAGACUCGUUUUACCCAAACCCAAAUAGUCAAUGCAUUUCGAAUCCUAGGUUCAUCCCUCGUCUCCAGCACCCGUGUCGCCUGCCCAGCGCCACCCCGCUACGACCAUCCUCCGUCUGCCCAGCGCCGCCACUCCCCAAGAGUUCAUUGAAUGAGGCAAACUAGGAUGCAUCACGCGAAGACCCCCCUUCUCUCUCGCCCAGCAACCCGCAUCGCCAUCCCUCUGCCCAGCGCCACCCCGCGACGCCGUCCAUCUGUUCAGCGCCACCUUGCAACUCUCAUCCGUCUGCCUAGCACCGCCCCUCCCCAUGAACUGAUUUAAUGGACAACGACACAUCUACGGUGGAGCUCUGUUUUGCCGCCGCCCCUGCCCAGCUUCGUAGUCUGUGAAUGGUAGGUAUAGCUUGAGCUACAUCCCUUUCACGAGGUUCAUGGUUUCAAAGGUCGUGGUUUCUUGUUUUGAUACUGAUUUUUAGAGCAAUGUACACCAUAUAUAAGAGACCACGAUGUAAUCCAUUCAAGAACUUCUUAACACGAUCACCCUAUGUGCGAUUUUUGCGAGUUGAUGCACACAGGGAGUCUAGUCCACUCUGAACGCAGCAGAGCUGCAGAAUUGAGAAUUGUGUAUGCUGGACUGAGAUUGUGAUCAACUUUACCUAAUUUCCUAUGUUAAUUGAAAUUGAGCUGUUAUUGA